rnacentral:rRNA from 1 species
UGGGGAAUAUUGCACAAUGGGGGAAACCCUGAUGCAGCGACGCCGCGUGAGUGAAGAAGUAUUUCGGUAUGUAAAGCUCUAUCAGCAGAGAAGAUAAUGACGGUACCUGACUAAGAAGCCCCGGCUAACUACGUGCCAGCAGCCGCGGUAAUACGUAGGGGGCAAGCGUUAUCCGGAUUUACUGGGUGUAAAGGGUGCGUAGGUGGCAGGGCAAGUCAGAUGUGAAAGCCCGGGGCUCAACCCCGGUACUGCAUUGGAAACUGUAUGACUGGAGUGCAGGAGAGGUAAGUGGAAUUCCUAGUGUAGCGGUGAAAUGCGUAGAUAUUAGGAGGAACACCAGUGGCGAAGGCGGCUUACUGGACUGUAACUGACGUUGAGGCUCGAAAGCGUGGGGAGCAAACAGG